CCCACCCAUCCAUCCAUCCAUCCAUCCAUCCAUCCACCCACUAAAAUGUUGGUCCAAUGUAGCACAGCACUUCCUUUUGCAGAGCAUCUCAUGGUGCAGGCAUCGACGGGUCAGUGGUGCUCAUUAUGUGUAUCAGCCUCAUUUCCAUAGACAUGGAUGACCCCCCCCCACCACCACCACUUUGCACAUGUCUGAUAAAGCGGCACCUUCAAAAUAACCUCCUUUGAUUUCCAAACCUCCCUGUCCUCUUUAUCUGCCUCUCAUCGCUCCCUCUCAGCUGAUGGGGAGCUUAUUGUGGACAAAUAGGCUUAGGCUCGUCGCUAUAGCAACAGCGAAUAGCACACACACACAGACACACACAGACACACAAAGCCAGGGACAUUAGCACGUCUUCAAUCUCCCGCCGGAGAUGGUGGUGCCCCCGACCUACAGUGUCGGUGCAACAAGUCAAGGCAGGCCUUGUGGGGGGGGCUCCAGGGAGGAAGAGGAGGCUGCAUGUGUUGCAGAGAGAUAAUGGAGAGAGGACCAGAGAGGACAGCCAGGCUUGUCUCAGCAGCAUCCCACUGAAGAAGCUUUCUCUUUAUUUUUUGAAGUGCCAAGGACAUAAAGAGGGGACCGUAAAAGGAGCGCCCGGGGUCAUGGCCUCCUGGUUCGGCUGGAGCGAGCCUUACCACCGCAGCCCUCGCAGGGACCCGUCGGACGUGGUCACCGACACGCUGAUGGUGGAGUUCAGCUGGCAGCUGAAGGAGGCGGAGAGGCAGCAGAGAGAGAGGGAGAACGAGUACCGGCGCAUGAAGACCGGCGUGGACUACAGCUGGCUGGCCAGCACACCUCGCUCAUCCUACAGCCUCAGCACCGGGGAGAAGCUGGGCCUGGAGGACCUCUGCUCCAAGGUGCCGCCAUCUUGCUGUGGACUGGUCAUACUCAAGUUCCGUGAUGCCAUUCGAGCCAGCGAGCCCGAGGUACAGGAAGUGUCCGGCCUCUUCCGGUCUGUCCUCCUGCAGGCCGUGGACCAAAUGAAGGAGGAGCAGCAAGCCCAGCGUCUCGCCCGCCAGUGGAACAACAAACGUGCUAUGAGCACGUCCCUGGUGAACUUCAGGUCCCGCAUCAGGAUCAACCCGUUCGGCAGCACUGCGGGCCUGACGUCGGCAGACGGGGCCGGCCUGAGCGACCUGAAGACGGUGUCGGAGGACGUGGAAAGAUGCAUGGAGAGGGAGGAGAGGGUGUGGAGCAUGCCGGACUUCAGAUACAAAGGGACGAGCGGCAGUAAACUGGUCUGAUGGGGACAGUGAGGAACAGUGAAGUGGCCUCUCCUGCUUAUCUGCAACACGUUCGUUCCACAUGAUCCGGGACGAAGCUCAACUUGAUCUUCUUCAGCAGGACACCACUCCACUUUUUUCCGUCAGCAGGUCCUUCUCAUGCCUGGAAGUCUCGGCCACGUUGCAUCGUGUACUUAGAGACAUAUGCAGAUACAACUGCUUUCUGGACUUACUGCGAGAGUCUAGUAAGAAAGCAGAUUGAAUCGUCAUCAAAUUGGUAAUGAAAACAUUUUUAAAAGAACACAAUUUGCAUGUUAACGUACCGCUACUUCUGGAGCUACUCCGGCUGCGAAUGGACGAAUGUGACGAGCUGGUCGACGAAGAAGACGACGACGACGACGAUGCUGAGGAUGAAGAUGAAGAUGACGGUGACGCGGAAGAGGAGGACGAGGACGAUCUACUACGGCUUCGUUUUCGCUUUCUCUUUUCUCUUCCUGCAUAAACAGAAGAUUACUGAUGCACGGCAAGCGCUGCACAAAUCCUCUGAAAACCACGUUAGUAAUGAAGUUUGCAUCUGCACACUAUAAUAUAGCACUUGCCUCGGCUCUUGUCAUCUGUCCUGGAACUGGACACUCUGCACUCUGCUUUUGUUGACUUAAAAAAAGAAGAACAUUUUGAUUAUUCUGACGAUAUUGCUUUUGCUGCUGCUUACAACACAUAUGCCAGACAUUGUAAAAUCUAAUAGCUACAGUUGGACAUUUAACAAUAAAUCAAACCGGGAAACUGUUGUGAUUACCCACCAAAAUUGAACAGUGUUGAGAUAUAAAAAGUUGCACACAAACCAAUAUAACAUUGCCACUAGUAGCUAUCGCUCCGGCGGAUUAUGUUAAGAGCAUUCAAUGUUGCUAAGCUAACACUAAAUUGCAUUCAUAUAUAAAGCAAUGCUUAUAAUAGAUGGCGAUUUACGACACUCACCAUGGUAGUAGUUAACCACAAACACCUUGACAACGCAACAAAAUUGGAUCCACACACUGAUGCGCCGUAGGUUAGCUGUAGCUAACAAGCACAGGAGCCAUUUUGUAUCCCAGAAUGCACCACGACUGGCUUCGUUCACAACACGGAAGUAGUCAAAGGUCUUGGUUUGUUUCAUGGCAGAAGCGCCAAACCAACGCGGAAGUACUCCGCCACCACCCGCUUUAGAUGAACUUGAGACUCAUUAAGCUAUGCUAAAUGUUGGUAGUUUUACGGAGAAGGUACGUAUUUUGUGACUUGUUUAUACAUUUAAGUGUUGCCCUGGGAAUGCUUACUUGCCAGGCGGGAUUAAAUACGGAUAUUUUCCUUGACCACAAUUAACUCCCACUGCUGGCACUUGUGAGCAUUGUACUGUAUAUAAAACACGACAUAGGGCCCUUUUGUAUUACCGUAGAAAGUGCAGUGUCAUUCAGCAAAUUCGUUAAUCUAGUACAGUAUCUCAACAGAUUUCCCCCUCUCAUCUAGUUAAAUUAACUACGCAAAGUAUUAGAAACAGUUCCCUGUAUGGUGCCGAUAAGGUGAUGGUGAUUUCACAAAACACACACAUUUGGCUAAUAACGUACAAAACAUUUAUUAUGGCAGUGAUAGUACAAGUACAUUUUGUAUAAAAGACAAAAUAAAAAAUAAUGCACAUAAAUGGUCAAAAACAAGAGAUUAACUCUAAAUGUCAGUUUCAUCUUGCCCCGCAGCCCUGUUUUGUUAAUACAAUGAAACACUCCGCAUAGGAGCUUUGUCUAACAGUGUCGUAAAUGUAGUGAAAAUGAGAAAUGACCUGCCUUAUGGAAGGAUGCAUUUUGUAUGAAUAUCGUGCAUAUGUUUUUUUUCUGUGUGUAAUUAAUAUGCUGUCAUUUGAAAUCAUAAAAAUGAAAUCAUAAAAAUCCAGUACCGGUUACCUUUUACACCACAGGGCUACCAUCAAACUGACUAUGUCAAUCCAUGAAAAUGUGAAGUAGUAUGUACAUAAAAGAAUACAUAUGAUGUAAUUAAAAGCAAAUAAUAAUAUAAGCCUCAGCGUACAGAGACACACACAGGUUGGUUCAUUACAGGAAUAUUGUUCUUCUAAAGGUAAGGGGUGAGGUAGCCCUUCCAUCCCUGUUUUUCAUCAGUUUGUGUGAAUGAAGUACAAUGUAAUACUUGAAAGCUAAAAUACACACUCUACUAAUACUGUUAAAAACACUCUACUAAUACUGUUAAAACAUGCUUGUAUGCUUGAUAAAGUAAAUAAAGAAAAGGCUUACAGCUGUGUUCCAGCAUUGAUUUAUGAAUGAAUCAUAUGUCCAUUGCUAAUUUCAAACCCCCAAAACAAAACAUCAAUGUAUGAUGCUGAUUAUAUUCCAUAAAGUGUGUAGUUUUAGGGAAGGUUUUUUUUUUUUAAAUCUCAGUGUAUAUGUAUUUUUAAUAACAAUUGAUAAUUGUUUAUGUUGAUAUGUAUCUCUACUUCCCAUAGCUGACUCCAUGUUCUGCUUUAGACGACACACUACUUUAGACUGAAUCAACAGCGCCUCCGCUGGUUGCAGUGAGGUAGUGCACUCCAGUUCGCCUCAAUUGCUUCAAGACACGAUUAAUCAGCAAUUAAUGUAUUAUUAUGCCCAUCUCUAAGUUUUUUAUUUAUGGAAGAUGUGAAAUACAGUGAGACCUACUGCUUUUUUCUGAACUGUCAACUCAAUCUGAACUGUGAUGGAAAGCAUUGUGGAGUGAUAACGUUCCCUCGUGCAUUUUCUGAUUCCAGGUUUAAACCUCUGCUUUGUUCUUAGAGUGAUCUGCAUGAGCCAAGCUCUCCUCGUUGUCCUCCUCCUCUGCAGGGACCUGGGAAAACAACAACAAAAAUCACCACGGAGAAAGCAAACGGUUAAAUAUUGUAUUAAUUGAGCCACCGCCCGCUUAUGAUGCAGAAUGUGAGUUUAAUCAUGACAAACAUCUCUUACAGCUACCGUCUCUGAAAUUGUGCAGGAUUUCUUACCU